AUGGACCAUUCCAUCCCUUUUUCCCGUGCAUAUGCAUCGGAUUCGGAUGACGAAGGUCCCGAUGAACAAGUUGAUGAGGAGGGGUUCAUAGUGAAGGAGGCCGAAGCUUUCGAGAAGGUAUUCGGUCGGGAUCACAAGACACCAUUGUUCAAGGAUGUUAGUCUGGCGGAUGAAGCUGUUGUUGAUGGUGGCAAAUCUAUAUCUCUUGGGGUUAGGCCAAGAUCUCACAGUGAUUUGUGA
rnacentral:rRNA from 1 species